rnacentral:lncRNA from 1 species
AUUUUGUAGUUGGUUGAUUUCUUUACAUUUUGUUUUACAUAUACUAUAGGUUUAAUUGCAUGUUUGGUCCCUUAAGUUGAUUUUAGGUUUUAAGUUGCUCCCUUAUGUUUUAAAAGUUUCAAGUUCGUCCUUUAUAUUUUUUUAGUUUUAAGUUGGUCCAAAACGUUACUCACAUUGCAAUUAGUUGGUUCUUUCGGUCUCAUCAUAAUAUUGAGUUUAAUAAAACCAAAAAAAAUUAAUUUUUUUUUUAAAACUGUCUUAGUAAAUAAGUUAAACUCCAACACCGUUAUUCUCAACCCAAAUCUCUAAACGGUCAAGUGAUGAAAUACACUAACUUAUUUCAAUAUGAGUAACUUGUAGGACCAACUUAAAAUUUUUAAAACAUAAAGGAUUAACAUAAAACUUUUAAAACACAAGAACCAAUUUAAAACCUAAAAUUCUUUCAAAAGAUAAACUUAAAACCUAAAAUAAACUUAUGGAAUCAAACUUGUAGGACCAUGCCUUUUUUUGAUGGCUUGUCAUUGAGAUUUUCACGAAUUGAUUUUAUUUGUAUCUAAACUAAGAACAUUGAUCUACAAAAUAAUGUGAAAUUUCUUACAAACAAAAACACUAUUUUGAAACAAUUCAUUUUUAUAAAACAAAAAUUUGAAGUCUAAAGACAUUGUUAUGAUUAACUGACAUUCCAAUUAUGUAAAUUGACGGUUUAAAAAAGGUUACAUUAAAAAAUCAAUUUUCAUCUUUGAUUACGGAAAUUUUCUUUGAAAUCAUUUUAAAUUAAAGGAGUUAUUUGUUAAAGAGCUAUUUUCUCGUGUUUAUAAUUUUUUUAUAAGAGGUUGUAGAAGACAAGCCAAAAAGAACCGAUUAGAAUACAGAAUAAAGAGAAAGAAGAACAAUUUUUUUAGCUGGACACAGAAGUUGGUGGCUCCAUUACCGGAUGAGGUAGAUUUUUUUGGUAUUUCUAUCAUUUGAGAAUAGAGGUUAUUUUACUGUUGAGUUUUAUUUUACAAAUAUAUUACUAAAGAAAAACAAAAGUUUAAGUGCGGUGUUGUAAUGACAGUCUGUCAUAUUGUUUUUAGUAAGUUUAUGCUUGCUUUAGUUGAGUUUUGUAUUAGAGUAUAGUGAGAAUAAACUAGAGUUACUUAGUGGUAACUAUAGUAGAAAGUUACUUAGGGAGUUUAGUUACUCCAAUUCACUAUAAAUAAGCUACACCUAUGUACUAUUCCAUAUUUUUUAUACAAUUGUUUCUUUGUAAUGAAUCCCAGAGAGAAUUACAUAAUCUAUCUUUCCAUUGCAUUUGAUCUAAAACCAUGGAAUCCUUUUAUUCAUAACAUGGUGUUAUACCCUGAUUUUGGACCUAAAAAUACUCAUUCAAGUUUCUUGUUUUAACACUGAUAUUUGUCAAUUCGCUGUUGUUUUACUCUGAAUCUUUACUCUCUUUUCAUCUGCAUAUUUUACUGUCUCUGUCUCAAAGUACGUUCAAGCUCGAUUUUCUUGCAUAAAAUUAUUCAAAGUGUCUUUUCUUGCAUUAUGAGUCAUUUAAGAGCUCUCUGAAACGUCGCAUUACUUUUUCUUGCAUUUUAUUUCAAAAAAUCAUACAAGAGGGUAUUUUGGUCAUUUCCUGCAGUGGAACCCAUUUUAGUCCCUGUGUUUGCCUCUAAGUCUUUUCAACUUGUCUGUACAAAUCAUUGUUGAGUCUUUGUUUAAAAAUCAUUUCAAAAAUUGCAUUUGAGUCAGUUUGGGUCAGUUUAGUCCCUAGGGGCAUUUUGGUCUUUUCCUGUCAAAAUUUCGGCAGGGAGGUAUUUUAAAAUACCUCAUGUCAGUAAUUGGUUCGUUUUAGUCCUUUUGUUGAUUUUAUUUUUUGUUUCACUUUACGUUUUUUCAAAUUGCCAAUUUUAAUCCAAUUUUAUUUUAAUUUGCAUUUUCAGUCCAAAACUUUUUUAAAUUGCAUUUAGGUCCUUUUUUUUAUUGCAGUUCAGUCCUUUCACUUUUCUUUUUUUGCAGAAGAGUCCCUAAGUCCAAAACAGGUGUCCUUUUCUCAUUGGUUCAGAAACACACAUGGCAGCCUAUAAAAGGUGCAAUCACUGUACAAGUCAGAAUCAGAUCCAAUCAUUGACACAUCACCAAAAACAGAUUUCAAUUUUCUCUCUCUUUUCUAUUAGAUCAAAACAGAAAAAUCCCCAAGAACAAACCAAAAACCGUAGAAAUUUCCAGAACCAGAAUCCAUUGAAAUGGCUUUGAAUCUCAGAGAUUCAUCAAGGAAUCAUCAUCAUUGAAUCGUUGCUCUGCAAUUUGAGUGCGAAUUCACCACUGAAAGCGGCAAACUCAAGCACGAUCACAGAGACUUUCUCGGAGACGAAGAAGAGGGACGAAAAUGAACACGUCGAACCUGUGAAGAAGAAGAGAGGAUCGGAACAGCAAGAACUCAAGCCAGAAUCAACAGAACAAGAUUCAACUCAAGUUUUCCUGAAGAUUCGUUUCGAAUUCACCAAGAAAAUCACAGGUAAAACUCAAACCUCAUCUUUUUUUUCCAAGAACAUCAACAAAGACGAAUCAAGUGUAGAUCUACGAAAUUCUAAAAGAUUCCAUUCGAAAAAGUAAAAAAAACUUGAAAAAGUUUCUUUCAAAACCGCGAGCAAAAAGCGUAGAUCUACGUUGAUUCAGGCUUUGCAUGCAAAAACCAGUGUCAUAUUCAUGCUUAGAACGAAAAAGGAUAUCCAAAAAUGUGAAAAUUUUCGAAAACGGAGAAGUUUGUUCAAACUCCGGCGGCGGCGCCGCCACCCUUGGGCGGCCGGCCACCACGCCGGAGGAACAAACCUCACUGGAGAAGAUGAAGAUCAUCCUCCAUAUGCAGUUUCCGGCGAGAGAGAGGGAGGAGAGAUGCAGUUUCCGGCGAGAGAGGGAGGAGAGAAGUGAGAGCUUCUCUCACUAGAAUGAGAGAAGAGAGAGAAAGGAAAGGAGGGAAUGAAAAAACCCGGUCCUAAAGCCUUUAUAUAAACCACUGAACCGGUCCGGUUUAUUUCUGGUUCUCUUUUUUCAUUCUCAACCUUUAGAUCUAGGUCUUGGAUUCCUGGAUCAAUCCAACGGUUCCUGUGCUUCCAGACUUUUAGGUUUUGGUUUGGGCCUAUUUCCUGUACGUUUUUGUUUUUUCUUGCUAUUCACACCCUGUUUUCUUGCUGAUUGAACCCCUACUUGCUCAAUUUUUUCUCUCAAAAAUUCUAGAAAAAUUCCUAUUGUUUUUAAUUCAUUUUUGGUAUUUCUUGUGAUGCUUUUACACAUAAAAAAACUAAUAAAAAAAUGUAUGUGG